UACAGAGGUCUCAAGCGUUGUUCGGAUUCAUUGGGCGUAAAGGGUGCGUAGGCGGCGCGGUAAGUCGGGUGUGAAAUCUCGGGGCUUAACUCCGAAACUGCAUUCGAUACUGCCGUGCUUGAGGACUGGAGAGGAGACUGGAAUUUACGGUGUAGAGGUGAAAUUCGUAGAUAUUCGCAAGAACACCAGUGGCGAAGGCGGCUCACUGGCCCGGUACUGACGCUGAGGUGCGAAAGCGUGGGGAGCAAACAGG
rnacentral:rRNA from 1 species